GGAUCCAGACUUUGAUCCUGGCUCAGGACGAACGCUGGCGGCGCGCCUAACACAUGCAAGUCGAACGGAGAUUACAGGCGGAAGUUUUCGGAUGGAAGCUUGUAAACUUAGUGGCGGACGGGUGAGUAACACGUGAGCAACCUGCCUAUCAGAGGGGGAUAACGAUUGGAAACGAUCGCUAAUACCGCAUGACAUAGCGGAACCGCAUGGUUUUGCUAUCAAAGAUUUUAUCGCUGAUAGAUGGGCUCGCGUCCGAUUAGAUAGUUGGUGGGGUAACGGCCUACCAAGUCGACGAUCGGUAGCCGGACUGAGAGGUCGAACGGCCACAUUGGGACUGAGACACGGCCCAGACUCCUACGGGAGGCAGCAGUGGGGGAUAUUGCACAAUGGGGGAAACCCUGAUGCAGCGACGCCGCGUGAGGGAAGACGGUCCUCUGGAUUGUAAACCUCUGUCUUCGGGGACGAAAGUAGACGGUACCCGAGGAGGAAGCCACGGCUAACUACGUGCCAGCAGCCGCGGUAAUACGUAGGUGGCAAGCGUUGUCCGGAAUUACUGGGUGUAAAGGGAGCGUAGGCGGGCAGGCAAGUCAGGCGUGAAAUAUAUCGGCUCAACCGGUAACGGCGCUUGAAACUGCAGGUCUUGAGUGAAGUAGAGGUUGGCGGAAUUCCUAGUGUAGCGGUGAAAUGCGUAGAUAUUAGGAGGAACACCAGUGGCGAAGGCGGCCAACUGGGCUUUUACUGACGCUGAGGCUCGAAAGUGUGGGGAGCAAACAGGAUUAGAUACCCUGGUAGUCCACACCGUAAACGAUGAUUACUAGGUGUGGGGGGACUGACCCCUUCCGUGCCGGAGUUAACACAAUAAGUAAUCCACCUGGGGAGUACGGCCGU
rnacentral:rRNA from 1 species